GGAGAAACCCAUGAAGCACAACUGCAGUGGGUUAUAAAAAACGGCCUUUCGAGUUGAGCAAUAAAUUCGUUCGAGCAGCCAUUCUGAAGGACAAACGUGGCUCUGUAUUUAAGAGGGGCAUUCCAGCCCUUCUCUAGCCACUGGGUUGACAAUGACUCACCAAAGCCUCUGGUAGCCACCACAGGACACCCAGAGCAUAUGUUUUAAAGCUGAACACCAAACUGCGGACUUCAGGACUCUUUUUUUGGAGACAGAGUCUAACUCUGUCACCCAGGCUGGAGUGCAGCGGUGCGAACAUGGCUCAGUGCAGCCUCAACCUCCUGGGAUCAAGCAAUCAUCCCACCUUACCCUCCUAAGUAGCUGGGAGCACAGGUAUGUACUACCAUGCCCAGCUAAUUUUUUUUAUUUUUUAUUUUUUGUAGAGAUGGGGUCUUGCUAUGUUGCCCAGGCUGGUCUUGAACUCCUGGGUUCAAGCAGUCCUCUAGACUUGGCCUCCCAAAGUGCUGGGAUUACAGGCAUUGAGCCAAUGUACCCAGCCCUUUUUUUUGCUUUUUUUGAGAUAGCGAGAUAGGGUCUCACUCUGUUAUCCAGGCUGGAGUACAGUGAUGUAGUCAUAGCUCACUACAGCCUGGAAUUCCUAGGCUCAAGUGAUCCUCCUGCCUCAGUCUCCCAAGUAGCUGGGAUUACAGACAUAUACCACCACACCUGGCUGAAUACUGUCUUUUCUAAAAGAUUUGUGUGUGUGCAUGUAUUAUAUAUUAGAUAUGGUAGAAUCUUUGUAGGACCAGGGCAUUGGAAUUAUUAGCAUGACCCUUAAAUUACAUUGAUCUCCAAAAUGAG
rnacentral:lncRNA from 10 species